rnacentral:tRNA from 3 species
ACUUGAAUAGCUUAUGUUUUAGAGCGCGACGCUGAAGAUGUCGAUGAGGUUUUUAACCUUUAAGUG